CAGCCGCCGCGGUAAUACGGAGGGAGCUAGCGUUGUUCGGAAUUACUGGGCGUAAAGCGCGCGUAGGCGGUUACUCAAGUCAGAGGUGAAAGCCCGGGGCUCAACCCCGGAACUGCCUUUGAAACUAGGUGACUAGAAUCUUGGAGAGGUCAGUGGAAUUCCGAGUGUAGAGGUGAAAUUCGUAGAUAUUCGGAAGAACACCAGUGGCGAAGGCGACUGACUGGACAAGUAUUGACGCUGAGGUGCGAAAGCGUGGGGAGCAAACAGGAUUAGAUACCCCAGUAGUCCCUGUCUCUUAUAA
rnacentral:rRNA from 1 species